CUUGAAUAAACAUAAGAGGUCCAGCCUGCCCAGUGACCAUGUUCAACGGCCGCGGUAUCCUAACCGUGCGAAGGUAGCGUAAUCACUUGUUCUUUAAAUAAGGACUAGUAUGAACGGCAUCACGAAGGUUACACUGUCUCCUCUCUCUAAUCAGUGAAACUAAUCUCCCCGUGAAGAAGCGGGGAUAAGCAUAUAAGACGAGAAGACCCUAUGGAGCUUUAAACUAAAAGGCACUUGCCCCAAAUAUCACCAAAUUUCAGAAAACCUACACCACCCAGGCAAGAUGACCCUCAGUUUUAGGUUGGGGUGACCGCGGAGCAAAAAAUAACCUCCACAUUGAAAGGAACCCACUCCUUAGCCAAGAGCCACACCUCCAAGCACCAACAAAAAGACAUUAAUUGACCCAAUAUUUUGAUCAACGAAC
rnacentral:rRNA from 1 species